rnacentral:tRNA from 1 species
GGGGUUGUGGUUCAAGGGGUAGAGUGCUCACCUGGCAUGUGUGAGGCACUGGGUUCAAUCCUCAGCACCACA